rnacentral:rRNA from 1 species
UACAGAGGUCUCGAGCGUUAGGCGGAAUCACUGGGCUUAAAGCGUGUGUAGGCGGAUCGUUAAGUGCCUUGUGAAAUCCCACGGCUCAACCGUGGAACUGCUUGGCAUACUGGCGGUCUUGAGCAACCUAGGGGCGAGCGGAACAAAUGGUGGAGCGGUGAAAUGCGUAGAUAUCAUUUGGAACGCCAAUGGUGAAAACAGCUCGCUGGGGGUUUGCUGACGCUGAGACGACGAAAGCCAGGGGAGCAAAGCGGGG